CCCUUGUGUUCCAGAGUCCAGCACAUUAACGAGUAUUUGUGGCACACGUAGAGAGGGGCAGAGGCAGGGGGAUUGCUGAGUUGGAGGCCAGCCUGGUCUACAGAGUGAGCUCCAGGACAGCCAGGGCUACACAGAGAAACCCUGUCUCGAAAAACCAAAAAAAGUUUCUGAGGCAGGGGGAUGACUGUGAGUGUGUUUCUGAGGCAGGGGGAUGACCAGGAAUGAAUGUGUGAGGCAGGGGGAUGAUCCCUGUGGCCUUUGGUCCUCACGGCGAGUGAUUUUGGGGGUGGGGGAGGGGUCCCGCCCUGGGGAAAGCGAGACAGACGGGACCCGAGAAUCCACACGGACAGUCUGGACCCCCGGCCCCUCCCGUCUGCAGCGCGGCCGCCAUCGAGCCUCCCGGUGGUGACGUCAUUUGAAAGAAGACAAUGGAAUCCUCACGACGGCCGCAUUCUCCUCGGUCACCACCGGGUGGCGGCAGAGAGCACGCCGGGAAAAACUUCCGCUCCGGAAGUCCUCCAAGGGGUCGGAUCUGCCCGUCGCCUCCCAGCCAGGGUGAGGGGAAGCCGGCCAGGCUGGCGGAUCCGACCCGGUGAAGGGGUCGCGCUUUAAAUCAGGGAGCACAGGCGCGGGGAGUGACUGUCUGAGGCAGGGGGUUGAUGCUGAGUGAUUGUUUGAGGCGGGGGAAUGACUGUGAGUGAGUUUCCGAGGCAGGGAGAUGACCUGGAUUGAAUGUGUGAGGCAGGGGGAUGACGCUGAGUGACUGUGUGAGGCAGGGGGAUGACUGUGAGUGAGUAUCUGAGGCAGGGGGAUGACCUGGAUUGAACGUGUGAGGCAGGGGUAGGACGCUGUAUGACUGUGUGAGGCAGCGCAUGAAUGUGAGUGAUUUUCUGAGGCAGAGGGAUAACUGUGUUUGAGUCUCUGAGGCAGGGGAAUGAUGCUGAUUGAAUGCGAGAGGCAGGGGCAUGAAAAUGAGGCAGGGGAUGAAGCUGAGUGAAUGUAUGAGGCAGGGGUUUAACUGUGAGUGAGUUUCUGAGGCAGGGGGAUGACUGUUAGUGUGUUUCUGAGGCAGGGGGAUGACCCUGAGUGAGUGUGUGAGGCAGGUGGAUGGCACUGAUUGUGUGUGUGAGGCAGGGGGAUGACUGUGAGUGAAUUUCUGAGGCAGGGGAAUGACUGUGAGUGAUUUUCUGAGGCAGGGGGAUGACCAUGAGUGAGUGUGUGUGAAUAAAAUAAUAAAAUAAAUAAAAUGCAAACACAACACCAGGGCAGGCGGCCCAGUGUGGGUGUCACAGC
rnacentral:lncRNA from 1 species